rnacentral:rRNA from 1 species
UACGGAGGGGGCGAGCGUUAUUCGGAAUUAUUGGGCGUAAAGGGCGCGUAGGCGGCUUGAUAAGUCAAAGGUGAAAUCCCUCGGCUCAACUGAGGAACUGCCUUUGAAACUAUCGAGCUUGAGGCCGGGAGGGGGUAGCGGAAUUCCCAGUGUAGCGGUGCAAUGCGUAGAUACUGGGAGGAACACCGGUGGCGAAGGCGGCUACCUGGACCGGUUCUGACGCUGAGGCGCGAAAGCGUGGGUAGCAAACAGG